UAAGUAAGGAAUUAGUAUUUGUGUCAACCUGAAGAUGCAUUUUACAUAUAAUAAUAAAUUCCUUUAAACUUUCAACCCUUCCUUCCUUCCACACAGUCACUACCACCAGAGGGUCAACACAGGGGGCAGGGUCAGAGCCUUGCCGAGACACAGGGUCAAAUAUUUACAAACUCUCCUAUCUUUACCAACAUAAUAAUCAUUUUCCUGGCAUUGCUUCCCAAGGCCGCCACAGAGAAUAGACACAAGGUAUCCAUGUUACUGUUCAAGGUGCAGAAACAUUUUAAAACUACCUCCAGGAUGACUGCAUCUUCUUCAACAUAUUGGGCUCCCAUUACCACUGUUUACACAGACAAAGUUAACCAGGUUUUCAUGGGUGGAAGGAAAGUUUGGUUUAGUGACAUCCUUGGUCAUAUGCCGGAGAGAGACAGGAGGGGAAGGAAUUAUAGGAGAAGGGAACAUCUGUGGUCAUAUGCCGGAGAGAGACAGAAGGGGAAGGAAUUAUAGAAGGGAACAUCUGUGGUCAUAUGCCGGAGAGAGACAGGAGGGGAAGGAAUUAUAGGAGAAGGGAACAUCUGUGGUCAUAUGCCGGAGAGAGACAGAAGGGGAAGGAAUUAUAGAAGGGAACAUCUGUGGUCAUAUGCCGGAGAGAGACAGGAGGGGAAGGAAUUAUAGGAGAAGGGAACAUCUGUGGUCAUAUGCCGGAGAGAGACAGGAGGGGAAGGAAUUACAGGAGAAGGGAACAUCUGUGGUCAUAUGCCAGAGAGAGACAGGAGGGGAAGGAAUUAUAGGAGAAGGGAGCAUCUGUGGUCAUAUGCCGGAGAGAGACAGAAGGGGAAGGAAUUAUAGGAGAAGGGAACAUCUGUGGUCAUAUGCCGGAGAGAGACAGGAGGGGAAGGAAUUAUAGGAGAAGGGAACAUCUGUGGUCAUAUGCUGGAGAGAGACAGAAGGGGAAGGAAUUAUAGGAGAAGGGAACAUCUGUGGUCAUAUGCCGGAGAGAGACAGAAGGGGAAGGAAUUAUAGGAGAAGGGAACAUCUGUGGUCAUAUGCCGGAGAGACAGAAGGGGAAGGAAUUAUAGGAGAAGGGAACAUCUGUGGUCAUAUGCCGGAGAGAGACAGGAGGGGAAGGAAUUAUAGGAGAAGGGAACAUCUGUGGUCAUAUGCCGGAGAGAGACAGAAGGGGAAGGAAUUAUAGAAGGGAACAUCUGUGGUCAUAUGCUGGAGAGAGACAGGAGGGGAAGGAAUUAUAGGAGAAGGGAACAUCUGUGGUCAUAUGCCGGAGAGAGACAGAAGGGGAAGGAAUUAUAGAAGGGAACAUCUGUGGUCAUAUGCCAGCAAGAGACAGGAGGGGAAGGAAUUAUAGGAGAAGGGAACAUCUGUGGUCAUAUGCCGGAGAGAGACAGGAGGGGAAGGAAUUAUAGGAGAAGGGAACAUCUGUGGUCAUAUGCCGGAGAGAGACAGAAGGGGAAGGAAUUAUAGGAGAAGGGAACAUCUGUGGUCAUAUGCCGGAGAGAGACAGAAGGGGAAGGAAUUAUAGGAGAAGGGAACAUCUGUGGUCAUAUUGUAGUGCCGGGACGCAGUAUUAAGUAUGGGUAAGUAAUGUUAAGUUAAUGUAAGUAACAUUUAAGUUAAUGUAAGAAUUAUUAGUAACAUUGAAUUAUUAUUGCGUGAUGCUCACACCCCCGAGACAGACGGACAGACAGACAGACAUACAUGUUGACGCCUGCAGAAAGUAGGUGAUCGGCUCCAUACGAGAUAAUGGGCAUAAUUUUAAUACAAGAUAGUAGCUUCUAGUUAGAAUUUUUCACCUUGCUAUUCAGGGGAACCAUUAUACCAAUAUCAUGCGACGAGUAAAGUACCGUAGACGGUUGUUGCAAGGUUGAACAAAUCAGGGUUCAAAUUAAAUCUGGGGAGGGAUGUGAACCGCGGGCAGCGGCUGUGUAGGGAGCCCCACCCAGCAAACACCAACAGACACGCCUUGGCUCUUCCCCCGGACAGGUGCGUCUCUCUGAGGUGAAGUAAUUCCUGUUCAUAUUAUAGAUAUAUUUUCUCAUUAUUGUAUUUGUGCGGUGCAAACACUAACAGACAUGCCUUGGCUCUUCCCCCGGACAGGUGCGUCUCUCUGAGGUGAAGUAAUUCCUGUUCAUAUUAUAGAUAUAUUUUCUCAUUAUUGUAUUUGUGCGGUGCAAACACUAACAGACACGCCUUGGCUCUUCCCCCGGACAGGGAAGUGAGUGGAGAUAAAGGGUCUGUCACGUGCGUGUCUCGGGUGUGUUCGGUAUGAUACACGUAUUGACUACGUAGGGUGUUUAGUCCACGGAGUAGCAGGGCUGUGCAGUAUUUCUCUUUAACGAGGAUGUAACCACCUGGUUCGUCCCCUUUGUCUGCUGGUUAGGCUAUAUUUUACUAAGGAUAUAGGAGAUUGUAAGAAGAUUGUUUAUGCCCAUGUGAGCACCAGUGAACUGUUUUUCGUGCCACGUUUGUGGUAGGCGGUGGCCGAAUUGGUAGAGUACUGGGCCCACAUUCACCGCGUGAUGGACGACGCGGGUUCGAAUCCCCACGCUACCACUCGGAUUUUUCAGCCACCGCCGAGUGGCUUAAAA